CCCCACCAAUAAUCAAGAAAGUUAGACCUAACUCCAAUUGUUGUGUUUUUACUUACCUAACACAGUUCUGACACGAGAGCUAAGUAGAAGUGGUCAGUGCUGGGGAUGGGUCAAGAAGCUAACAACAGCUAAGUGGCGAAACUCAGCGCUCACAGGACAGCUGUCAUUGUGAGGCUGAGGACUUGCCAUAUGGCAGAGGAGAUGCACUAUUGAUCAGUGGACAGAAUUAACAAGGUGACAGAUUUGGGCUCAAUCAUAGGGACAUUUUCUAAUCAUCCCAACUGUCACAGAGUGGAGUGGGUGACAUGGGGCAGGCUGAGACCCCUGCACAGUGGACAUGUGCCGGCUGGCACACCAUCUGUCAGAGAUGCCAUCAAACCUGACAACUUGCUUCAAAAAUAACAUUUUGCAAUGGUUAUUGAAUAGAACAUGUCCACAGGAGACUACUUUAGAAAAUAAAAUGCUAACAAGGAAGAGGCUCAUCCUGAACCCCACGUUCACAGGUUCGGAUCCUGGAGGCAGGAACUGGAGAAGCAGCCAUGGAGGAGGGCUGUUUAGAGGCUCGCCACUCAUGGCUUGCUCAGUCUCCUUCCUUAUACAACACAACCUGCCAAGCGGUGUUACCACUCUCACAAUGGGCUGGGCUCUUUUAUAUCAGCCAUUAAUCAAGAAAAUGACCUACAGACUUGCUUUGGUGGGCCAAUCUGAUGAAGACAUUUUCUCAACUGAAGUUCCCUCUUCCCUGAAGAUGACACCCACAAAAAACAUUCAGUCAGGACAGAGAUUAUUCUUAAUAAUUGAAUUCAAUCAGUUGGAUAAAUUAUGAGCAAUAACCAAAGUUUCUUAGAGAAGAAAUAGUUCUGCCUUUAGACUGGAGCAGAGAGUUCUACCUGGGUUUCCAUCCUGAGCCUUUGCUCACAGGAUGGAAGACUUGCCAUCCCCACAACAAUGGGCUCCCUCCUUCCCUUCCUUCUUCCCUCCUUCCCUCUUUUACUCCCUCUCUCACCCCAUCCCUCCCUCCCUUUCUCUUGUAUCUGAGUUUCUCACUUUUGUUUACUGCUCAAUAGGGUGAACUACUUCCCAACAUGGCCAAUGAAAUAAACCCAUCCUUAUACUUAA